GACGAACGCUGGCGGCGUGCUUAACACAUGCAAGUCGAACGGAAAGGCCCUGCUUUUGUGGGGUGCUCGAGUGGCGAACGGGUGAGUAACACGUGAGUAACCUGCCCUUGACUUUGGGAUAACUUCAGGAAACUGGGGCUAAUACCGGAUAGGAGCUCCUGCUGCAUGGUGGGGGUUGGAAAGUUUCGGCGGUUGGGGAUGGACUCGCGGCUUAUCAGCUUGUUGGUGGGGUAGUGGCUUACCAAGGCUUUGACGGGUAGCCGGCCUGAGAGGGUUACCGGCCACAUGGGGACUGAGAUACGGCCCAGACUCCUACGGGAGGCAGCAGUGGGGAAUAUUGCACAAUGGGCGGAAGCCUGAUGCAGCAACGCCGCGUGCGGGAUGACGGCCUUCGGGUUGUAAACCGCUUUCGCCUGUGACGAAGCGUGAGUGACGGUAAUGGGUAAAGAAGCACCGGCUAACUACGUG
rnacentral:rRNA from 1 species